UGCAGUCGACGAUGAACCUCCUUCGGGAGGGGAUUAGUGGCGAACGGGUGAGUAACACGUGGGCAAUCUGCCCUGCACUCUGGGACAAGCCCUGGAAACGGGGUCUAAUACCGGAUAUGACUCGGGAGGGCAUCCUUCCGGGUGGAAAGCUCCGGCGGUGCAGGAUGAGCCCGCGGCCUAUCAGCUUGUUGGUGGGGUGAUGGCCUACCAAGGCGACGACGGGUAGCCGGCCUGAGAGGGCGACCGGCCACACUGGGACUGAGACACGGCCCAGACUCCUACGGGAGGCAGCAGUGGGGAAUAUUGCACAAUGGGCGAAAGCCUGAUGCAGCGACGCCGCGUGAGGGAUGACGGCCUUCGGGUUGUAAACCUCUUUCAGCAGGGAAGAAGCGCAAGUGACGGUACCUGCAGAAGAAGCGCCGGCUAACUACGUGCCAGCAGCCGCGGUAAUACGUAGGGCGCAAGCGUUGUCCGGAAUUAUUGGGCGUAAAGAGCUCGUAGGCGGCUUGUCGCGUCGGAUGUGAAAGCUCGGGGCUUAACCCCGGGUCUGCAUUCGAUACGGGCAGGCUAGAGUGUGGUAGGGGAGAUCGGAAUUCCUGGUGUAGCGGUGAAAUGCGCAGAUAUCAGGAGGAACACCGGUGGCGAAGGCGGAUCUCUGGGCCAUUACUGACGCUGAGGAGCGAAAGCGUGGGGAGCGAACAGGAUUAGAUACCCUGGUAGUCCACGCCGUAAACGUUGGGAACUAGGUGUUGGCGACAUUCCACGUCGUCGGUGCCGCA
rnacentral:rRNA from 1 species